rnacentral:rRNA from 1 species
UACAGAGGGUGCAAGCGUUGUUCGGAAUUAUUGGGCGUAAAGGGCGCGUAGGCGGCGCAACAAGUCACUUGUGAAAUCUUCAGGCUUAACCUGAAGCGGCCAAGUGAUACUGUCGUGCUAGAGUGCGGAAGGGGCAACUGGAAUUCUUGGUGUAGCGGUGAAAUGCGUAGAUAUCAAGAGGAACACCUGCGGCGAAGGCGGGUUGCUGGGCCGACACUGACGCUGAGGCGCGAAAGCUAGGGGAGCGAACGGG